rnacentral:lncRNA from 1 species
UCUGGUUGUGGUUAUGAUUAUUAUUGGCCAUUUGCUGAGUCAUCAACUGGAUGAACUGAGUCUGGGCUGCCAGUAAUUGUUGCACUAAUACAGCAUUCUCAUUCCCCUCUGCAUUAUUUUCAGCAUUGUUGUCAUUGUUGUUGGCAUUGUUGCGGGUUUGGCAUCUUGGAGGCAUCUGUUUUAGGAUAGUAAAGAUGAGAAAAAUAUAGAUGGAAGAGGUCUAAGGAUAUCUAUUCCCCCACAAACAGACACAAGCAUAUCAAUCAAACAACAAUCCUUUAUUAAAAUUUCUUUUGAAGAUUCCAAAUAAACGACAUAAAGACUCAUUGUUGGCCCACGGCCUAAGUAAAAAGGAAAAUAAAAUAUAAAUAAAAGAAAAGAAGAACCAACGGUCUACGUCGCCAUACAACAAAAGUUCUGUAUGGUCAACGACUAACACGUACUCGUAUUUUAUUAUAUGCUAAGUGAGAAGUGAUGGUCUCCAAACAACUAAGGGAGUGCGAUGAAGGUGGUGGCUCCACCGGUUCCCUUCCUGGAGCGGGUGUUGGCGGCUGGCGGGUCCUCCUCUGAGGGCUCAUCUGGAGGUGGUCCCUCUCCCUCGGGCUCGGGAG